AUUGAACGCUGGCGGCAGGCCUAACACAUGCAAGUCGAACGAGACCUUCGGGUCUAGUGGCGCACGGGUGCGUAACGCGUGGGAACCUGCCCUUAGGUUCGGAAUAACUCAGAGAAAUUUGAGCUAAUACCGGAUAAUGUCUUCGGACCAAAGAUUUAUCGCCUUUGGAUGGGCCCGCGUAGGAUUAGCUAGUUGGUGGGGUAAUGGCCUACCAAGGCGACGAUCCUUAGCUGGUCUGAGAGGAUGAUCAGCUACACUGGGACUGAGACACGGCCCAGACUCCUACGGGAGGCAGCAGUGGGGAAUAUUGGACAAUGGGCGAAAGCCUGAUCCAGCAAUGCCGCGUGAGUGAUGAAGGCCUUAGGGUUGUAAAGCUCUUUUACCAGGGAUGAUAAUGACAGUACCUGGAGAAUAAGCUCCGGCUAACUCCGUGCCAGCCGCCGCGGUAACAC
rnacentral:rRNA from 1 species